GACGAACGCUGGCGGCGUGCUUAACACAUGCAAGUCGAGCGGAAAGGCCACUUCGGUGGUACUCGAGCGGCGAACGGGUGAGUAACACGUGAGUAAUCUGCCCCUGGCUUUGGGAUAGCCACCGGAAACGGUGAUUAAUACCGGAUACGACCACUUCUCGCAUGGGAUGGUGGUGGAAAGUUUUUUCGGCCAGGGAUGUGCUCGCGGCCUAUCAGCUUGAUGGUGGGGUAAUGGCUCACCAUGGCUUCGACGGGUAGCCGGCCUGAGAGGGUGACCGGUCACACUGGGACUGAGACACGGCCCGGACUCCAACGGGAGGCAGCAGUGGGGAAUAUUGGUCAAUGGGCGGAAGCCUGAUCCAGCAACGCCGCGUGAGGGAUGACGGCCUUCGGGUUGUAAACCUCUUACAGCAGGGACGAAGCGCAAGUGACGGUACCUGCAGAAGAAGCACCGGCCAACUACGUGCCAGCAGCCGCCGUAA
rnacentral:rRNA from 1 species